UGGGGAAUAUUGGACAAUGGGGGCAACCCUGAUCCAGCCAUGCCGCGUGCGUGAUGAAGGCCUUCGGGUUGUAAAGCUCUUUUGGCGGGGACGAUGAUGACGGUACCAGCAGAAUAAGCCCCGGCUAACUUCGUGCCAGCAGCCGCGGUAAGACGAAGGGGGCAAGCGUUGUUCGGAAUUACUGGGCGUAAAGGGCGCGUAGGCGGUUUGCUUAGUCAGGCGUGAAAGCCCUGGGCUUAACCUGGGAUGUGCGCUUGAUACUGGCAGGCUUGAGUGUGGGAGAGGUUGGUGGAAUUCCCAGUGUAGAGGCGAAAUUCGUAGAUAUUGGGAAGAACACCAGUGGCGAAGGCGGCCAACUUGACCACAACUGACGCUGAGGCGCGAAAGCGUGGGGA
rnacentral:rRNA from 1 species